AUGCAUAAUGCUUUUGGACUAAGAAGCUCUUUGAAGCUUAGGUCAUACUAUGGCCAUUACAAGGUAGCCAAGGUGGGCACAGUUAUGUACAUACUACAAUUACCAGAAACUGCUCUCAUCCAUCCAGUGUUCCACAUUAGUCACCAGAAGAAACAUCUCGGCUCACAGGAUAUCCCUCUUCCCAAUGUACCACUCGUUACAGAAGACGACAAACUCAAAACAUCACCUUUUGCAGUCCUAGACAAAAGAAUUAUCCAGAGGAGAAACACCCCAGUGGCCCAGUGGUUAAUUCACUGGGAAACACAAGGCUGCUACUGA
rnacentral:rRNA from 1 species